CCUAAUCUGAGGAAGGACAUUCUUGCCAUUCAGGGGCGGAUUAACCAUUAAGCAGACUAAGCAUGUGCUUAGGGCACCAGGGCCAAAGGGUGCACCACAAAGUUGGGAAAAGGGUGAAAA